CAUGGAGUGGACAUGGAUCACAGGAAGGAUAGGGAUCAUGGGGAGGAUGUGGAUCAUGGGAUGUUCAUGGGGCACAGGAAUGGCAUGGAUCAUGAGUAGGAUAUGGAUCAUGGGAAGGUCAUGGAGCAGAGGGAAUGUGGAUCAUGGGGAGGAUAUGGAUCAUGGGGUGGUCAUGGGACACAGGAAGGAUGUGAAUCAUGAGGAGGACGUGGAUCAUUGGGUAGGCAUGGAACACAGGGAGGAUGUGGAUCAUGGAGAAUAUAUGCAUUAUGGGGUGGACAUGGGGGCAGGAAGGACAUGAAUCAUGGGGAGGAUGUGGAUCAUAGGAAGGAUGUGGAUCAUGGGGAGGAUGUGGAUCAUGGGGAGGAUGUGGAUCAUGGAGAGGACACGGAUCAUUGGGAAGAUAUGGAUCAUAGAGUGGUCAUGGGGCACAACGAGGAUAUGGAUCAUGGGGUGGUCAUGGGACACAGGGAGGAUAUGGAUCAUGGGGAGGAUGUGAAUUGUGGGGAGGACAUGGAUCAUGGGGAACAUAUGGAUCAUGGGGUGGUCAUGGGGCACAGGAAGGAUAUGGAUCAUGGGGAGGAUGUGGAUCACGGGAUGUAUGUGGAUCAUGGAUUGCACAUGCGGCACAGGAAGGAGGUGGAGCAUGGGGAGGAUGUGGGUCAUGGAAUAGAUGUGGAUCACUGGUGAUUGUGGAUCAUGGGGAGGAUGUGGAUCAUGGGGAGGAUGUUGAGCAACACAUGGAUGUAGGUCACAGGGACAACAUGAACCACAGGAUGGACAAGGAUCAUGGAGAGGACAUGGAUCACAGGGUAGAUGAGGAUCACAGGGAGGAUGAGGAUCAUGGACAGCACAGGGGUCACAUGGAGGAUGUGGAUCAUGGGGAUGCAAGGACCACAGGGUGCAUGAGGGUCUCAGGGUAGGUGUGGGUUUGGGGAAGAAUGUGCAGCACAGGGAGGAUGUGGGUCUCAGCAAGGGCCUGACAGUCCCUCCUGGUGGGUGGUGGACGAUGGGCCCUGAGGGCCUCUGCUGGUGGUGGGCUAUGAGGUGGCUCCAGGAAACUGACUUUUGCUCACAUGGGUUUCAGGACCUCAUUCAGGAAGACUGACGAUAAAACAAAUCAUUCGAUGCACCUAAGGAUCAGAGACUAAGGCUUUUCAUCCUACCCCCAGCCUUGUGCUCUUUUUUCUUCUUUACCUAGGAAAGCCUGUGCAGGUUUACAAAAGAGCAUGAGGCUGGAAGAAAGCCAGACCUGGAGGAAGCUCCCAGCUGUGCCCGGCGUGAGCUGUUUGGCUUCUGAAGUCACUUAGCAUCUUGUUUAGCGCCUUCGAGUCCUCUCUGUGAAAUGGGGCCAAUAAACUCUACCUCAAAAAUUUGUUGGCCAGACACAGUGGCUCAUGCCUGUAAUCCCAGCACUCUGGGAGGCUGAGGCAGGAGGAUUGCUUCAUCCCAGGAGCUUGAAACCAGCUUGGGCAACAUAGUGAUACUCCAUCUCUUCAAAAAAUGAAAAAAAUUAGCUGAGUAAGGUGGCACACACCUGUAAUCCCAGCUACUCCAGAGGCUGAGGUGGGAGGGUACCUUGAGCCUGGGAGAUCAAGGCUGUAGGGAGCCGUGAUGGUGCAACUGCACUCCAUUCUGGGUGACGGGGCAAGACCUUGCCUCGAAACAAAAAAAUAAAAGGAAAAUAAAGAAAGUUUGUUGUAAGCCACCUUGCAUCCUCUCAGGCAGUGACAGGUUUACCAUGGUACCUGGCAGGUGGGAUCCUCAACAUUUCUUGGUCACUAUUAUUACUGUCAUCUUUGUUAUGAUUUAUUUUAUUUUUGAGACAGAGUCUUGCUCUGUCGCCCAGGCUGGAGCACAGUAUUGCUGGAGCACAGUACUGCAACCUCCACCUCCUGGGUUCAAGCGAUUCUCCUGCCUCAGCCUCCCAAGUAGCUGGGACUACAGGUGCCAGCCACCAUGCCUGGCUAAUUUUUUUGUUUGUGUGCGUGUGUGUAUUUUUAGUAGAGACAGGGUUUCACUAUGUUUGCCAGACUGGUCUCGAACUCCUGACUUCACGAUCCACCCGCCUCAGCCUCCCAAAGUGCUGGGAUUACAGGCAUGAGCCACCACACCCAGCCAUCUUUGUUAUUAUUGAACACAUAACUCGUAGGGCUGAUAUGAAAUACCCAUAAGAGAAAAGGGCUUAUCUGGAAAGUGUUAUCUAAAGAUGCAGUCUCAGCCCAUAGCAGUCUCACCACCUGCAGGCCAGGUGGCACCUGGGUACUGGGUGAGCCCCACAGACCCAAGGCCCCCUGGGCGGUGGCAGAGUUACAGAAGAGAGGCAGCAAAGACGCUGCGGCCCAGAGGGAUGACUCCCAGUGAAAGUGCAAGUGAUGGUUGUCGGGACAUUUACCAGCUGCUGCCUGUUCUGUGUAGCGGGCAUUGAGCCUCUGGACAGGGGAGAGAAGGCAGUGCCCUUGACAUGCCAUGCCCUGAACGUAGAUGAUCUCGUUUACUCCUCACAAUAAACCUGUGAGAAAGUGUCAGUAUCCCCAUCUUACCAAUGGGGAAGCUUAGGCCCAGAGAGGGCAAGCAAUUUGCUCACAGUCACACAGCUGGUAUGGAUUUAAACUCCCACCUCAGCCUUAGCAUGCCUCCAAGACCCCUGCAAAUCCCUCUCACCCUGAACAUGGUCCGGGGGGAUCCCAUCUUAGCAUAUGCCAAACUGAACGGGGUGAGAGCCCUGCCAUACUUGAUCCUGCACUUAAUAAUAACAAUGAGAGGGAAGGGGCAGGAACAGAGGGAGGAGGGAGAACAUUACCAACAUUAGCACUCACCGGCCCUGGUACUUGCUCAGGACUUUAAUUGAGCAAGUAAAGGGCCCACCCCAGCACUACCACCACCGCCCCAAGAGGGUCUUGGGUCUCAGGAGCUGACCGAUCCCCUCCUUCAAUCCUCACAGCCCUACCAAGAAGCACUCUCAUUAUCCCUCCUGUAUAGGUGAGGAAACAGAGGCUCAGAGAAGUUAAGCAACUUUCCCCAGGUUUAGCAUCUAGCUGAGGAGUAAAGCUGGAUUUGCGCCAAUGUCUGCCUGACACUACGGAGCUCUAGC
ensembl:lncRNA